AGAGGAUUGUCUGAGUGGUCGAAAGAGGCGGUCUUGAAAACCGUUAGACCGGAAGGUCUCGGGGGUUCGAAUCCCUCAUCCUCUGCCA
rnacentral:tRNA from 1 species